GGGAGCUUAGCACAGUCGGAAGAUUGCGCCGGUCUCAUAGUUAAAAUAGUGAGCUAUCCGGAGGUCGUGAGUUCGAUCCUCACAGUUCCCA